AGGAAUCUUCCCCAAUGGGCGAAAGCCUGAGGGAGCGAUACCGCUUGAAGGACGAAGCCCCUCGGGGUGUAAACUUCUGAACUCGGGACGAUCAUGACGGUACCGAGGUAAUAGCACCGGCUAACUCCGUGCCAGCAGCCGCGGUAAUACGGAGGGUGCGAGCGUUACCCGGAUUUACUGGGUGUAAAGGGCGGGUAGGCGGUCUCUCAAGUCCGAUGCUAAAGACCAAGGCUCAACCUCGGGAAUG
rnacentral:rRNA from 1 species